UACGGAGGAUGCGAGCGUUAUCCGGAUUUAUUGGGUUUAAAGGGUGCGUAGGCGGCGAGUUAAGUCAGCGGUAAAAGCCCGGGGCUCAACCCCGGCCCGCCGUUGAAACUGGCUGGCUUGAGUUGGGGAAAGGCAGGCGGAAUGCGCGGUGUAGCGGUGAAAUGCAUAGAUAUUACACAGAACACCGAUUGCGAAGGCAGCUUGCUAGGCCGGAUCUGACACUGAUGCACGAAAGCGUGGGGAUCGAACAGG
rnacentral:rRNA from 1 species